GUGGGGAAUCUUCCGCAAUGGACGAAAGUCUGACGGAGCAACGCCGCGUGAGUGAAGAAGGUUUUCGGAUCGUAAAGCUCUUUCGUUAGGGACGAACGUGCUCUUUGUGAAUAAUGAAGAGUAAUGACGGUACCUAAAUAAGAAGCCACGGCUAACUACGUGCCAGCAGCCGCGGUAAUACGUAGGUGGCAAGCGUUGUCCGGAAUUAUUGGGCGUAAAGCGCGCGCAGGCGGGAUAUCAAGUCUGUCUUAAAAGUGCGAGGCUCAACCUCGUGAGGGGACAGAAACUGGUAUUCUUGAGUGUCGGAGAGGAAAGUGGAAUUCCAAGUGUAGCGGUGAAAUGCGUAGAGAUUUGGAAGAACACCAGUGGCGAAGGCGACUUUCUGGACGAUGUCUGACGCUGAGGCGCGAAAGCUAGGGGAGCGAACGGGAUUAGAUACCCGAGUAGUCC
rnacentral:rRNA from 1 species